rnacentral:sRNA from 1 species
AGCCAUUACUGCAGGAAAAGGUCCCGGAGAGCUGAGCAGUCAAGAUGUGUGACUUCACCGAAGACCAGACCGCAGAGUUCAAGGAGGCCUUCCAGCUGUUUGACCGAACAGGUGAUGGCAAGAUCCUGUACAGCCAGUGUGGGGAUGUGAUGAGGGCCCUGGGCCAGAACCCUACCAACGCCGAGGUGCUCAAGGUCCUGGGGAACCCCAAGAGUGAUGGUGAGGGGCCUAAAGAACAACUCCUCAGUGUCGUCAUGGGCCCACAGUUCUUCAGCUAAGAGCUUCCCUUUAUCUUCAUAGGCCCCAAACUCAAGCAAGUCUGGAUUAGCAAAUCCCAUGGAUUUCCUUGCUUUUAGUGGGGAGUCAUCUGUCAUCUCUGUUCAGUUGAGGUCUCUAUAAUCCCCUGUCCUGAGAACUUGUGUUACUUCUCUGGCCUGACACUUCCACCUCCUUUAUGGCAGAGAUGAAUGUGAAGGUGCUGGACUUUGAGCACUUUCUGCCCAUGCUGCAGACAGUGGCCAAGAACAAGGACCAGGGCACCUAUGAGGAUUAUGUCGAAGGACUUCGGGUGUUUGACAAGGAAGGAAAUGGCACCGUCAUGGGUGCUGAAAUCCGGCAUGUUCUUGUCACACUGGGUGAGAAGAUGACAGAGGAAGAAGUAGAGAUGCUGGUG